rnacentral:rRNA from 1 species
AGAGUUUGAUCCUGGCUCAGGAUGAACGCUGGCGGUAUGCUUAACACGUGCAAGUCGGACGGGAAGUGGUGUUUCCAGUGGCAGACGGGUGAGUAACGCGUAAGAACCUGCCCUUGGGGGGGGAACAAUAGCUGGAAAUGACUGCUAAUACCCCAUAGGCUGAGGAGAAAAAGGGGGAAUCUGCCCAAGGAGGGGCUCGCGUCUGAUUAGUUAGUUGGUGAGGCAAUGGCUUACCAAGGCGACGAUCAGUAGCUGGUCUGAGAGGAUGAUCAACCACGCUGGGACUGAGACAUGGCCCAGACUCCUACGGGAGGAAGCAGUGGGGAAUUUUCUGCAAUGGGCGACAGCCUGAUGGAGCAAUGCCGCGUGAAGGCAAAAGGCCCACGAGUCAUGAACUUCUUUUCUCGGAGAAGAAAGAUGACGGUCUCUGAGGAAUAAGCAUCAGCUAAAUCUGUGCCAGCAGCCGCGGUAAU